CGCGUAGGCGGAUAAGUAGGUGUGAUGUGAAAGCCCUGGGCUUAACCUAGGAAGUGCAUCGCAAACGGCUUAUCUAGAGUAUAAGAGAGGGUGGUGGAAUUUCCGGUGUAGCGGUGAAAUGCGUAGAGAUCGGAAGGAACGUCGAUGGCGAAGGCAGCCACCUAGAUUAAUACUGACGCUGAGGCGCGAGAGCGUGGGUAGCGAACA
rnacentral:rRNA from 1 species